rnacentral:rRNA from 1 species
AUUGAACGCUGGCGGCAUGCCUUACACAUGCAAGUCGAACGGUAACGGGCCUUCGGGUGCCGACGAGUGGCGAACGGGUGAGUAAUGUAUCGGAACGUACCUUUCAGUGGGGGAUAACGUAGCGAAAGUUACGCCAAUACCGCAUAUUCUGUGAGCAGGAAAGCAGGGGAUCGCAAGACCUUGCGCUGAUUGAGCGGCCGAUAUCAGAGUAGCUAGUUGGUUAGGUAAAGGCUCACCAAGGCGACGAUCUGUAGCGGGUCUGAGAGGAUGAUCCGCCACACUGGAACUGAGACACGGUCCAGACUCCUACGGGAGGCAGCAGUGGGUAAUUUUGGACAAUGGGGGCAACCCUGAUCCAGCCAUGCCGCGUGAGUGAAGAAGGCCUUCGGGUUGUAAAGCUCUUUCGGCCGGGAAGAAAUCGUAUCAGCUAAUACCUGGUGCGGAUGACGGUACUGGCAUAAGAAGCACCGGCUAACUACGUGCCAGCCGCCGCGGUAAAAC